AUGCGUGCAGGCAUAGAGGAGGUCUUUCCAUUGGCAGUGCACAGGCACUGCAGGUGGCACAUUAUAAAGAAGGCUGAGGAGACGCUAGGACCGUUCUUUGCUGACCGUACAGAGCUGCACAAGGCAUUCGAGCUGUGUGUGGACCACAGCUUGACGGUGGAGGAGUUUGAAAGGAGCUGGAUGGCCACGACUGAAACACAUCAAGUCCAAGACAAUGAGACUCUUGUUAGCCUAUGGGAGAAGCGAAUGUACUAGGUGUCAGCCUACUUCAUGCAGUGCUUCUUCCCCUUUCUGCAGACUACGCAGCGCAGCGAGGGGUUCAAUGCUGUUUUGAAGCGGUACAUCAGCCCUGGCAACUCAUUGCUACAGUUUGCCAAGCAGUACACAGCUUUGCAACAAAAAAUUAUGGGAUCUGAGCUACAGCAAGAAGCGAUCACAGCACUAAAGCAGCCAAAAUUGCUAACGUAUUUACUGAUAGAGAGGCAAAUGAGUAAGAUAUACACCAACAAGAUCUUUAACAAGUAA
rnacentral:rRNA from 1 species